rnacentral:rRNA from 1 species
UACGAAGGGGGCUAGCGUUGCUCGGAAUCACUGGGCGUAAAGCGCACGUAGGCGGGUUCUUAAGUCAGGGGUGAAAUCCUGGAGCUCAACUCCAGAACUGCCUUUGAUACUGAGGAGCUCGAGUCCGGGAGAGGUGAGUGGAACUGCGAGUGUAGAGGUGAAAUUCGUAGAUAUUCGCAAGAACACCAGUGGCGAAGGCGGCUCACUGGCCCGGUACUGACGCUGAGGUGCGAAAGCGUGGGGAGCA